rnacentral:tRNA from 1 species
GGUUCUUUAGCUCAGUUGGUAGUUCACCGUUCGGUCGCUGGUUCGAGUCCAGCAAGAACCA